rnacentral:rRNA from 1 species
ACUCCUACGGGAGGCAGCAGUGGGGAAUAUUGCACAAUGGGCGCAAGCCUGAUGCAGCCAUGCCGCGUGUAUGAAGAAGGCCUUCGGGUUGUAAAGUACUUUCAGCAGUGAGGAAGGUGGGUAUGUUAAUAGCAUACUCAUUUGACGUUAGCUGCAGAAGAAGCACCGGCUAACUCCGUGCCAGCAGCCGCGGUAAUACGGAGGGUGCGAGCGUUAAUCGGAAUUACUGGGCGUAAAGCGCAUGCAGGUGGUUUGUUAAGUCAGAUGUGAAAGCCCGGGGCUCAACCUCGGAAUUGCAUUUGAAACUGGCAAACUAGAGUACUGUAGAGGGGGGUAGAAGUUUCAGGUGUAGCGGUGAAAUGCGUAGAGAUCUGAAGGAAUACCGGUGGCGAAGGCGGCCCCCUGGACAGAUACUGACACUCAGAUGCGAAAGCGUGGGGAGCAAACAGGAUUAGAUACCCUGGUAGCGUAG